CUUGGCGCUCCCCAGGUCCGCUUUGCCCCCUUCUUCGAUCUGCUCGGAAAAAUGAGACAGCCACAGGUGAGCUGCCACAGGUUCAUAAUCUAGAUGGAAAGUCCAAGAACAGAGGUGAAAGCAGUAGCAGUGUGGUGUGUAAACACAGAGAGCUCUAGCAUCAGACCAACGUGGAAGGUGGUGGCAACAGCAGAGACCAAGAGGAAGACAUUUGCUGAGAGGAGGAGAGAGGUUAUUUACUUCAAGUCAAAGAACAGGAGUUUACUUGAUUUAUAAGUGAAAUAGGAGAUAGUCUCUCCUUUGGAGGGAAGUUUUUAUUUCACAAAGUGGUCCCAGGACAGGAAAUUAUCCAGUAACAUCUUAUGGACCAUCCAAAGGAGCUGCAGCCUCCAGACACCUAGACGUGCCCCCGGUUUUUGAUUUCCUGCUCACUGGGCAGGCGGAACUGAUCUCAAAG